AAACAACUACGAGUGAAAACUUAAAACUUAAAAGACUUGACGGUACUUCAAACCAACCUAGAGGAGCCUGUCUAGUAACCGAUAAUCCACGCUUAACCCAACCCGCUCUAGCCAACCAGUCUAUAUACCGCCGUCGCCAGUCCACCUUAUGAAAGAACCAAAGUAAACUCAAUAGUAUCACACUAACACGACAGGUCGAGGUGUAACCAAUGAGCCGGCAACAGAUGGGCUACAUUUUCUAAUCCUAGAACAGACAGACAAGAACAUGAAAACACCUUUGAAGGUGGAUUUAGCAGUAAGCCCCGAGAGCAAAUUACCCAACUGAAACAAACAUGCAAUGAAGUGCGU
rnacentral:rRNA from 1 species